rnacentral:rRNA from 1 species
ACCCGCACAAGCGGUGGAUGAUGUGGAUUAAUUCGAUGCAACGCGAAAACCUUACCUACCCUUGACAUGUCCGGAAUCCCGAAGAGAUUUGGGAGUGCUCGCAAGAGAACCGGAACACAGGUGCUGCAUGGCUGUCGUCAGCUCGUGUCGUGAGAUGUUGGGUUAAGUCCCGCAACGAGCGCAACCCUUGUCCUUAGUUGCUACGCAAGAGCACUCUAAGGAGACUGCCGGUGACAAACCGGAGGAAGGUGGGGACGACGUCAAGUCCUCAUGGCCCUUAUGGGUAGGGCUUCACACGUCAUACAAUGGUCGGUACAGAGGGUUGCCAAGCCGCGAGGUGGAGCCAAUCCCACAAAGCCGAUCGUAGUCCGGAUUGUUCUCUGCAACUCGAGAGCAUGAAGUCGGAAUCGCUAGUAAUCGCAGGUCAGCAUACUGCGGUGAAUACGUUCCCGGGUCUU